GAUGUCGAGCGUGAGGAGCAGGAAGCGGCCGCCGAAGCCGCGGCUGCAGCAGCUUAUGGCGAAUCCGCUGAGUCUCAGAACUUCCCAAGCCUGAAAGAGGCUAACACUGCUAAGCCUAAGAAGAAGAAGAUGUCUCUCAACGAGUUCUACGCCUCCUCCAGUGGCUCAGGUGGCGGUCGCGCGGUAGAAUCGAAAGGCUUAACUCCUGAUGAGAUGCUUCGGCUCCCUACUGGUCCUAAGCAGCGUUCCGCUGAGGAAAUGCAGUAUGGCCGUCUCGGUGGCGGGUUUU
rnacentral:misc_RNA from 1 species